CAACGUUGGUCUACUAUGCUCGGUAACAAACUUCAAUCUAUUAAACUGAGUAUAGGUUACUGGCCAUCUUCUUGUCACCAGUGUCGAGGUUGGGAGACUACUGUCUCCCGUCUUCGCAUUGGCCAUACUCGUCUUACUCAUGGAUAUCUCGUGGAGAGGCGCCCUGCUCCUCUCUGUGAGAAUUGUCAGGUUCCAUUAUCAGUCAGCCACAUUCUGUUAGACUGCCCACUUUAUCAACGAGCACGCAGAAUUUACCUCCGUCGUCGUCUUCGCUCCGCUGCUCUCUCUUUAUCUUCCCUUGCUGAUGGACCCACCUUUCAUCUGGACUCUCUCAUUGACUUUUUGACAGCAACUGACUUACUUCACAAACUCUGAUACCUUCCGCCCUUUCUACCUCAAUCUCUUGCUACCCUCUACCCCCGCACUAUCCCCUGCCCCGCUGUUUUCUGUAACCUACUGAUCAUCCCUCCCCCCUUCUGCCACCCAAUACCCUCACUUCCUUCCCUACCCUGCAGCGCUGUAUAGCCCUUGUGGCUUAGCGCUUCUUUUUAAUUAUAAUAAUAAUAAUAAUUCACUUACCUACCUUUGUCUACCUGUAUAUAUACACUACUUUCUCUCAUGUAGUCUCUACCAUGUAAGUGUGGUGAAAGUGUUGAAUGAUGAUGAAAGUAUUUUCUUUUUGGGGAUUUUCUUUCUUUUUUGGGUCACCCUGCCUCGGUGGGAGACGGCCGACUUGUUGAAAAAAAUAAUAAUAAUAAUAAUAAUGCCUCUUGAGUGUUGACCUGCAGCUCCUGAGCCUUUUUAGGGUAUUAAGCUACAGAUGCUGGGCUUCUUGAGUGAAGCACCAGAGUCUCUUGAACGUGUUGAUAUCUAGCUUCUGGGAGGAUUCGGGUCGAGAUCCUAGAAUCUCUCGAAGUUGAGCUGCAAUUCCUGUGCCUCUUGAAGGUUUUGUGGUAUACAUACAACACUUAUCUUGGGUUGUGCAGCAACCAGAAUACAUCUACAGUAAUUGUCAUUUUUUCAACUUUUUACUACAGCUAAAUAAAAAGUAAAAAUAUA